CCUACGGGGUGCUGCAGUGGGGAAUAUUGGACAAUGGGCGAAAGCCUGAUCCAGCCAUGCCGCGUGUGUGAAGAAGGCCUUCGGGUUGUAAAGCACUUUCAGUGGGGAAGAAAGCCUUGGGGCUAAUACCCUCGAGGAAGGACAUCACCCACAGAAGAAGCACCGGCUAACUCCGUGCCAGCAGCCGCGGUAAUACGGAGGGUGCGAGCGUUAAUCGGAAUUACUGGGCGUAAAGCGCGCGUAGGCGGUCUGAUAAGCCGGUUGUGAAAGCCCCGGGCUCAAUCUGGGAACGGCAUCCGGAACUGUCAGGCUAGAGUGCAGGAGAGGAAGGUAGAAUUCCCGGUGUAGCGGUGAAAUGCGUAGAGAUCGGGAGGAAUACCAGUGGCGAAGGCGGCCUUCUGGACUGACACUGACGCUGAGGUGCGAAAGCGUGGGUAGCAAACAGGAUUAGAUACCCGUGUAGUC
rnacentral:rRNA from 1 species